rnacentral:lncRNA from 1 species
ACGUGCCAGAGACGCCGGAAGCACCAGCUGAGCAUGCCUGAGCCACCUGCUCGACUCGCAAGAAACACCUGUCGGACAUGCCCAAAUCACCUGCCGGGUACGCCAGAAACACUUGGCGGACGCUCCGGAAUCACCUGUCGGGCGUGCCGGAAACACCUCUCAGACGUGCCAGAACCUCCUGCCGGACACGCCGGUACCACCUGCCGAGUAUGCCGGAACCAGCUGAUCCACUCCCCAGAACCACCUAGUGGACACGCCAAAAUCAACUGCCGGCUAUGCUGGAACCCCCGGCUCGACUCGCCGGAACCACCGCCGGACAUGCAAAAUGACCUGCCGGCUAGGCCAGAACCACUUGGCGAACACUCCGGAAUCACCUCUCGGGCAUGCCAGAACCACCUCUCAGACUUGCCAGAACCAUGUUCCGGACACGCCGGUACCACCUGCCGAGUAUGCAGGAACCACCUCAUCCACUCCCCAGAACCACCUGCUGGACACCCCAGAAUCACCUGCCCGCAACGCCAGAACCACUCGGCAGACACUCCGGAACCACCUGCCGGGCAUGCCGGAACCACCUCUCAGAGGUGCCAGAACCACAUGCCGGACACUCCGGAAUCACCUGCCGGGCAUGCCGGAACCAUCUCUCAGACUUGCCAGAACCAUGUUCCGGACACGCCGGUACCACCUGCCGAGCUCGCCGGAACCACCUGCUGGACACGCCAAAAUCACCUGCCGGGUACGCCAGAAAUACUUGGCGGACGCUCCGGAAUCACCUGUCGGGCGUGCCGGAACCAGCUGAUCCACUCCCCAGAACCACCUAGUGGACACGCCAAAAUCAACUGCUGGCUACACCGCAACCACCGGCUCGACUCGCCGGAACCACCGCCGGACAUGGAAAAUGACCCGCCGGCUAUGCCAGAACCACUUGGCGAACACUCUGGAAUCACCUGUCGGUUGUGCCGGUACCACCUCUCAGACUUGCCAGAACCAUGUUCCGGACACGCCGGUACCACCUGCCGAGUAUGCCGGAACGACCUGAUCCACUCCCCAGAACCACCUGCUGGACACGCCAGAAUCACCUGCCGGCUACGCCAGAACCAC